UAAACGUCCCAGUUCGGAUUGUAGUCUGCAACCCGACUACAUGAAGCCGGAAUCGCUAGUAAUCGCGGAUCAGAAUGCCGCGGUGAAUACGUUCCCGGGUCUUGUACACACCGCCCGUCACACCAUGGGAGUUGGAAAUGCCCGAAGUCAGUGGCCCAACCGGAAGGGGGGAGCUGCCGAAGGCAGGUUCGAUGACUGGGGUGAAGUCGUAACAAGGUAAC
rnacentral:rRNA from 1 species